rnacentral:rRNA from 1 species
UACGGAGGGGGCAAGCGUUGUUCGGAAUUACUGGGCGUAAAGGGCUCGUAGGCGGCCAACUAAGUCAGACGUGAAAUCCCUCGGCUUAACCGGGGAACUGCAUCUGAUACUGGAUGGCUUGAGUUCGGGAGAGGGAUGUGGAAUUCCAGGUGUAGCGGUGAAAUGCGUAGAUAUCAGGAGGAACACCGAUGGCGAAGGCAGGUCUCUGGGCCGAUACUGACGCUGAGGAGCGAAAGCGUGGGGAGCGAACAGG